rnacentral:lncRNA from 1 species
AGCCACCUGCACAUACUGACUCCCUGUAAUGCAUUUGAGUUUCAGGUCCAUCCGAUACCCUUAGUCUUGAGCGGCUAUGACUCGAGUGCUUGCAAUUUCUUCUCGACAAAAAUACCCGUAAAUUAAAUUGAUGACACGGCAAGACACGAAAGGAUCGCGCACCACACUUUACCGACAAAUUUAGUUUUUGUCGCGCCUGUUGCGACAGUUUUUGUCGCAGGCGACAUUUUUCCGCGUCGCAAGUCGCAGGUGCAGGUCACGUCGCGGGCCGUCACGAAAUGCAGCAUCACCGCGCGACAAGUGCGACUCGCCGGCGGUUUUUGUGCGAUGAAUGGACGAUUUCUGGCGAUUUGUUGCGGUGCAGGUGAGGUCGACAAGUGUCGCGAGAAGUCACGAGCGGGGAAUCUGAUACAUCUCUCCGAUUAGGGUACCGCGGUGAAAUGGUAAAUCUUUUAAUUAAACAAAUCAAAUUAAUAAACACAUAUAUAGGAAUAAUCGUACCACAGGAAUCAUUCACAGGAAUGUAUUAUGGUGCACCUGAUAUCGUUUAUAAACACGAACGGCACCAUAGAUAUAGAAUACUAUCACUGUGACACCCAUGGUAUCUCCCACGCGUUGCCAUUUCAGCUUCUUAAUUAAUUUAUAUACAAAUCCAAUCUAUAAAAGCUACUUUUGACAUUGCUUUUAAUUAUAAACAUAAAUAAUUAGUAAUACUUU